AUCUACAACCAUAUCACACAGAUCCGGGAAGCUAAGCAGGGUCAGGCCUGGCCAGUACUUUGAUGGGAGACCGCCUAGGAAUUUCGAGUGCUGUAGGCA
ensembl:rRNA 5S_rRNA 5S ribosomal RNA